rnacentral:rRNA from 1 species
UAGCGGCGCACGGGUGCGUAACGCGUAUGCAACCUACCUUUUACUGGGGGAUAGCCCGGAGAAAUCUGGAUUAAUACCCCAUGGUAUCUAUGAAUCGAUUGGUUUAUAGUUUAAAGAUUUAUCGGUAAGAGAUGGGCAUGCGUCUGAUUAGCUAGUUGGCGGGGUAAUGGCCCACCAAGGCAUCGACGGGUAGCUGGUCUGAGAGGACGAUCAGCCACACUGGGACUGAGACACGGCCCAGACUCCUACGGGAGGCAGCAGUGGGGAAUCUUGCGCAAUGGGCGAAAGCCUGACGCAGCAACGCCGCGUGCGGGAUGAAGGCCUUCGGGUUGUAAACCGCUUUCAGCAGGGAAGAAAUUGACGGUACCUGCAGAAGAAGCCCCGGCCAACUACGUGCCAGCAGCCGCGGUAACACGUAGGGGGCGAGCGUUGUCCGGAUUUAUUGGGCGUAAAGAGCUCGUAGGCGGUUCGGUAAGUCGGGUGUGAAACCUCCAGGCUCAACCUGGAGACGCCACCUGAUACUGCUGUGACUAGAGUCCGGUAGGGGAGUGUGGAACUCCUGGUGUAGCGGUGAAAUGCGCAGAUAUCAGGAAGAACACCAGCGGCGAAGGCGGCACUCUGGGCCGGUACUGACGCUGAGGAGCGAAAGCGU